CAAAAAGGUUUGGUCCCAGCCUUUCUAUUAGCUGUCAGUAAAAUUACACAUGCAAGCCUCCGCAUACCAGUGAGAAUACCCUUCAAGUCAUUAAACUACAAAUGACUCAAAGGAGUUGGCAUCAAGUGCACCUAAACAUAAGGUAGCUUACGACGCCUUGCCUAGCCACGCCCCCACGGGAUACAGCAGUGAUAAAAAUUAAGCCAUGAACGAAAGUUUGACUAAGUUAUACUGACAAAGGGUUGGUAAAUUUCGUGCCAGCCACCGCGGUCAUACGAUUAACCCAAGUUAAUAGACAUACGGCGUAAAGAGUGUUAAAGGAUACAAUAAUAAAAUAAAGCCAAGACUUAACUAAGAUGUAAAACCCUACAGUUAAAGUAAAAAUAAACUACGAAAGUGGCUUUAAUAUUUCCCGAUUACACUAUAGCUAAGACCCAAACUGGGAUUAGAUACCCCACUAUGCUUAGCCCUAAACCAAGACAAUCCAACUAACAAGAUUGUUCGCCAGAGAACUACUAGCUACAGCUUAAAACUCAAAGGACUUGGCGGUGCUUUAUAUCCCUCUAGAGGAGCCUGUUCUGUAAUCGAUAUACCCCGAUAAACCUCACCAACCCUUGCUAAUUCAGCCUAUAUACCGCCAUCUUCAGCAAACCCUUAAAAGGAACCAUAGUAAGCACAAGUAUAUACAUAAAAACGUUAGGUCAAGGUGUAGCUAAUGAGUUGGGAAGAAAUGGGCUACAUUUUCUAUUUCUAGAACAUAAUUUUAAACGAAAACCUUUAUGAAAUGAAAGGUUAAAGGAGGAUUUAGUAGUAAAUUAAGAAUAGAGCGCUUAAUUGAAUCAGGCCAUGAAGCACGCACACACCGCCCGUCACCCUCCUCAAGUAUCAACACCAACUAUUUAUACUUAAUAAAAAGGUAAUAAAUACAAGAGGAGAUAAGUCGUAACAAGGUAAGCAUACUGGAAAGUGUGCUUGGAUUAAC
rnacentral:ncRNA from 1 species